UGCCGCGUGAGUGAAGAAGGCCUUCGGGUUGUAAAGCUCUUUCAGAUGCGAAGAUGAUGACGGUAACAUCAGAAGAAGCCCCGGCUAAUUUCGUGCCAGCAGCCGCGGUAAUACGAAAGGGGCUAGCGUUGUUCGGAUUUACUGGGCGUAAAGGGCACGCAGGCGGUCUUGCCAGUCAGGGGUGAAAGCCCGGGGCUCAACCCCGGAACUGCCUCUGAUACUGCAAGACUAGAGACUAGGAGAGGGUGGUGGAAUUCCCAGUGUAGAGGUGAAAUUCGUAGAUAUUGGGAGGAACACCAGAGGCGAAGGCGGCCACCUGGACUAGAUCUGACGCUCAGGUGCGAAAGCGUGGGGAGCAAACAGGAUUAGAUACCCUGGUAGUCCACGCCGUAAACGAUGAGUGCUAGUUGUCGGGACUUCGGUUUCGGUGACGCAGCUAACGCAUUAAGCACUCCGCCUGGGGAGUACGGUCGCAAGAUU
rnacentral:rRNA from 1 species